rnacentral:rRNA from 1 species
CCUACGGGUGGCUGCAGUGAGGAAUAUUUGUCAAUGGACGAGAGUCUGAACCAGCCAAGUAGCGUGAAGGAUGACUGCCCUUUGGGUUGUAAACUUCUUUUAUAUGGGAAUAAAAUGUUCCACGUGUGGGAUUUUGUAUGUACCAUAUGAAUAAGGAUCGGCAAACUACGUGCCAGCAGCCGCGGUAAUACGGAGUAUACGAGCGUUAUCCGGAUGUAUUGGGUUUAAAGGGAGCGAAGGUGGAGUGUUAAGUCAGUUGUGAAAGUUUGCGGCUCAACCGCGCCCCGCAGUUGAAACUGGACGACUAGAGUUCACAACAGGCAGGCGGAAUGCGUGGUGUAGCGGUGAAAUGCAUAGAUAUCGCGAGGAACCCCGAUGGCGAAGGCAGGCUGCCGGGGUGCGACUGACGCUGAGGCUCGAAGGUGCGGGUAUCAAACAGGAUUAGAUACCCGUGUAGUC